CAACAGCUCAACCAUGGCGAAUUAUAUCCAAUUCACACCUCUCGCUCUCCUUGGUUUUGUAAUUUGCGUCGUCCAAUGCAUCGAUACUUCAGCUCCAUAUUUCGACGAGGGGGCAAACUUGAGCUUCGAAAAGUGCGGCAUCGUGCAUAAGAAAAGAUCAAUGAGCAGCCCUUGGAUCGUUUAUUUGCGGCAAGCUGAGCAGGGAUGCUACGGAAUUGCCAUUUCUGAUAGAACUAUUUUAACCCGCGAAUGCAAUUUUACUACAGAUAGUGAGGAGAAAAUAUCAGUUUAUGAAGGAAGAUGUGCUGAUGAAAGAGUGUUUUACUUCAAAAAUUGCGUCAAAAAUAUUAUAGAGGUGAAGAAUGUGAAAGAAGUCAUCCUGAAUGAAUAUGCUCCUGGGAAUGAAACAAUUCUGAUUUUUAAUACAAAAACUCUUCUUAAAAGAACAAAGCCAAUUUGUUUGUACAAUCGUGCUAAAGAGACGAAAAACUUAUUGGCAAGAAAAAGACAAAUCUCUAACAACUUCAUGAUGCUGCG